CCGCUUUGCGCGCCAGACGAUGCAUCUUCUGGAACGGCAGCUGAGAAUCAGAGGGACCCUGAGCUUGUUUUCCUGCAACUAGAUGGUCCCAUCUGGGGGUGAUGGGAGACAGUGACAGAUCAUCAGGCCUUGGAUUCUCAUAAGAAGCACGCAACCUAGAUCCCUCACAUGUGCCGUUCACAACAGGUUUCAUGCUCUUGUGCACAUCCAAUGGUUCCUAAAGGGCCACAGACCGGUACUGGUCCUUGGCCCAGGGGUUGAGGACCCCUGUUCUAUAAGGUCGGGAGAGAGGCCUCAGAAGAAACCAACCCUGCCGAGACACCUUGAUCUCAGACUUCAGCCUCCAGAACUGCGCGGUGAUGCGUUCCUGUUGAAGGCACUCUGACCGCAGUGGCUUGCCGUGGCAGCCCUCGACAACAAAUACAGGGUCUGUUGAACCAAAUGAAUCCAAAAUGUAUGCCCAAAGAUAGCCGCCAGGUCUAUGAAAACACCUGCUCUGAUAUGAGGGGACGUGGACCACAGAGAGAUGGGGUUUCACCAUAUUGGCCAGGCUGGUCUUGAACUCAAGAUGAUUCGCCCAACACAGCCUCUCAAAGUGCUGGGAUUACAGUCUCCGGUAUGUCAUUAUCAGCAGUGUGAAAAUGGACUCACUCCCACCCUGUCUGGAUCUGGACAAGAGCCCACCACCCCGUUGGCAGUAGUCAGGCAGCUCUGCUUCUAAGAACCUGCAGCUUUUGGAAGAAAGGCACCCUGUGGUUUCAGAAGCCCAAGAGUCCCUGCAGCUCAGCACCCCCAGCCUGGUGCUUGGCAGAUGACUGCCUCCUCACUUAGCAGAGGGA
rnacentral:lncRNA from 10 species